GACGAACGCUGGCGGCGUGCUUAACACAUGCAAGUCGAACGGUGAAGGGACCGGUUUUUGCUGGUUCUGGAUGAGUGGCGAACGGGUGAGUAACACGUGAGUAACCUGCCCCCUUCUUCUGGAUAACCGCAUGAAAGUGUGGCUAAUACGGGAUAUUCUGCGCCUGCUGCAUGGUGGGUGUGGGAAAGAUAUUGUUUCGGUGGGGGAUGGGCUCGCGGCCUAUCAGCUUGUUGGUGGGGUGAUGGCCUACCAAGGCGGUGACGGGUAGCCGGCCUGAGAGGGUGGACGGUCACACUGGGACUGAGACACGGCCCAGACUCCUACGGGAGGCAGCAGUGGGGAAUAUUGCACAAUGGGCGCAAGCCUGAUGCAGCGACGCCGCGUGAGGGAUGGAGGCCUUCGGGUUGUAAACCUCUUUCGCCAGUGAAGCAGGCCUGUCCCUUUGGUGGGUGGGUUGACGGUAGCUGGAUAAGAAGCGCCGGCUAACUACGUG
rnacentral:rRNA from 1 species